GGCACGCUGCUUAGCAACCCGGCUCCACCCUCAGCACCAAUACGCUGGCGGAGCGGAGAAGGCUGAGCGGAGCGGCUGGGGGCGAUCUGGCUGCUGAGUCUGUGGCCGAACGAGACACGUGGAGCCAGAAAUGAGAGGACGAUCCCUUGGGCUGGGGCUGAGAGUCAAGUCGCCACUUUGCCGGAUACCGGAGCGGCCUGGGGAACAGCAGCAACAGCAGCACUGAGUCGGGAAAUCUAGGAAUCUUUUAAAGAGAUGCUCUCUGUGCAAGGCAGGCUGCUAAGAGGGACGUUCCAUGAUACCUGUGUAAGGCACAGCGCUGACUGAUUUCCUAGUGAUAACAGGCCUAACUGAAGCAAGACUAACUUAUUAACAACGUCGAAAGUAGCCUAUUUUAAGAGAAAAUAUGCAGAAGAAGAAAAUUUACAUCAAGAUUACCAGGGGUAUUUUCCAAAACACUUGAUAUCACCUGAAGACAGAGCCUGUAUUCUCAAACUCUCCCUUGAUAAGCUUCGCUUCCUCGAAGACCCAGAGAACUACUUGCGGAGGUCAGUGCUGAUCAAUAAUCUGCUCCGGAAGAUCCACCUCGAGGCUGACAGAGAGAAAUAUGAAUAUUACAAAGAAACCGCCAACUGCAAGGCCGCCUUCUCUGAUGCAAGAAAACGGCUGAAGCAAAUGGUUAAGGGCUGCUGCACUCAGACCUUGUAUUAUGAGGAGCUGCAUUCAUAUCGGAUGGUGCCUUACGUUGCAGAAAAUGUUAUUUAUGGAAUGGGCUAUACCAACAGUUCUCUGGCACAAAAUUCUCCGCUGCUAAUUUAUACGGUGAAAGAGUGACUUCUAACACAGGCGAAGGAACUAUUUGCACACAUGUCUUUUGCAGAUGGGAGAAGAAGGGCACGUUUAGAUAAGUGACGCACCUUCUGGUGGCCAACACAGUAAAGCUAUCACUGAUAGUAAGAAUUAUUAGGCUCUUAUGAAAUCCUAGAGUGCACUUUGUGUCCAUUAUUGUGGUAAAGUCAAUGCAGACACUGAAUUUUGGUAGUGUAUGGAAGAUUUAAUGCCUUCAAUAUUUCUCCUGUACAUUGUAUGUGUGUAUUAUUAGGCCACAGCAAGCAGCUCAAAUGUUGCAGCUUUUCUAUGGCAAAGUGCAAGCAGCUGUGUUUUAUCCUUUGGAGAUGUCUGCAGGAUAUGGUUUUACCAUAUACAUAUAGCUUUGAUGUAUUUUCAUCUGUAUCUUUAAGCUAAACAAACUUGAAUAUUUUUAUAAACUUAUAUCUAAAGAGUUGACAACCCCCCCACCAUAAAGUUUUGAAAUAUUUUAAUAAGAAACAUUUUAUGACAGAUUUUGCAUUAGAUUUUAGGAAUUCGAGAUGCACUAUGCUAAACCAAUGCCUACUUUGUUAUAAUCCCUGUAUAUUAAAACUCCUUUAGAAUAUAAUAUAUAUAAUAGGCCUGCAGUCCUUAAGAUUUUGCUGAACUACAACUUCCCCUGAUGGGAGAAGAGUUUACGGCACUGUUGGGAGGUACAGUUAUAGUUUGAGGGCUGCAACUUGACCAUCCCGAGUGUAGGGCCCCUAAAGGCCAAUGGAGACACAGAUAAAACCAAAGACAAUAUUGGCUAUGGACGCAAAGAUAUUGUCAGGGAGCAUAAAGAAUAAAUCGCUAGACUUGAAAACAAGGCUAAAAACAUAAAGUGGAAGCAUUAAAGCUAACUGAUCUGCAGAGCACUGCCAAACCCCACCUGAACUGAACUGUGUCUGUGAACUGGAAUAUUUUAUGUUGAGUUGAGAAAAUGGUUCCACUUUACAUGUUGUGUUGCUGACAAUAUAUUUUGUUUUGUUUACAAUGAUGUAAUAUGUUUAUUUUUUUCUGUUGUCAUGCUGUAACAUGAAUUCUUCUGCACAUUUCUGACCAUUCUUAGGGCUGCUGUUGGAUUGGUCAGUCUCUAUUUGGUAUAUCUGUGAGAAGCUGAACCAGAUUCUCUGUGGAUGUAAACAAUAAAAAUAGUCAAAGAGAA